UGCAGUCGAGCGGUAAGGCCCUUCGGGGUACACGAGCGGCGAACGGGUGAGUAACACGUGAGCAACCUGCCCCUGACUCUGGGAUAAGCGGUGGAAACGCCGUCUAAUACCGGAUAUGACCUGCCACCUCAUGGUGGCGGGUGGAAAGUUUUAUCGGUCAGGGAUGGGCUCGCGGCCUAUCAGCUUGUUGGUGGGGUAACGGCCUACCAAGGCGAUUACGGGUAGCCGGCCUGAGAGGGCGACCGGCCACACUGGGACUGAGACACGGCCCAGACUCCUGCGGGAGGCAGCAGUGGGGAAUAUUGCACAAUGGGCGAAAGCCUGAUGCAGCGACGCCGCGUGGGGGAUGACGGCCUUCGGGUUGUAAACCUCUUUUACCACCAACGCAGGCUCCGGGUUUUCUCGGGGUUGACGGUAGGUGGGGAAUAAGGACCGGCUAACUACGUGCCAGCAGCCGCGGUAAUACGUAGGGUCCGAGCGUUGUCCGGAAUUAUUGGGCGUAAAGAGCUCGUAGGCGGCAUGUUGCGUCUGCUGUGAAAGACCGGGGCUUAACUCCGGUUCUGCAGUGGAUACGGGCAUGCUAGAGGUAGGUAGGGGAAACUGGAAUUCCUGGUGUAGCGGUGAAAUGCGCAGAUAUCAGGAGGAACACCGGUGGCGAAGGCGGGUUUCUGGGCCUUACCUGACGCUGAGGAGCGAAAGCAUGGGGAGCGAACAGGAUUAGAUACCCUGGUAGUCCAUGCCGUAAACGUUGGGCGCUAGGUGUGGGGACUUUCCACGGUUUCCGCGCCGUAGCUAACGCAUUAAGCGCCCCGCCUGGGGAGUACGGCCGCAAGGCUAAAACUCAAAAGGAAUUGACGGGGGGCCCGCACAAGCGGCCGGAGCAUGGUUGCUUAAUUUCGACGCAACGCCGAAGAACCUUUACC
rnacentral:rRNA from 1 species